GGUGUCGACCUCAAGAAGGAUCGCUGGUGGGUCGUUUUUCUCGGCCUCUUUCUCUUCACGUCCUGAACUCAGUCUCUUCGGGACUCACUUCCACGCUCUCCUAGUCUCUUUGGCACUCACAUCCACGUGGCGCUUUAGCCAGCCCUUCCUUCCCAGCCCCCUUGCUGCACCUCGAGCCGGCUCUUCCUCCACCUGGGCAGGGCGGCCGGGGCCCCAGAUGCGCUCCAAGCCUUGAUUCCUGUCUGCCUUAUCCUAGUAGGGGUUUUCCCCUCCUCUAACUUUCCACGUUCGUCUGGUUCCAAGUCAAGACUCUCCUGCAGCAACUGUCAAGCCCCUCUCGGUUCCCUGGCACUCUCCUGCGUUGUUUCUUAACUGUAUAAUGCACAGGAUAAACCUUAAACCGGUGAUUGGCGUCUCUUUCCAUUCAAAAUUAGAGAAAAUACCAAAGCUCAGCAGUGAUCUUCCUUCUAGAGGCUUGUUGGAACUCCAAACACAUACCCCUGACAGAUACAACAGGGAUUAAUGAGCCAUGACCAGAAGUUUGAUUUUUCUGUCGAGUGCUCCCAUCCGUCUUUAAUAAACAGAAGAACAACAUAAACUCCAUUGCCUGCUUUCCACUGCUGAAACUGAGCUGGCUGUUCCUGGUACCAUGUGUGUUGAGCUGAGUUAUGAUUCUAAAUGACUCGACAAACGCUUUUACAAGCCCCUUUGGUCUGCUACUCUGGUGACUGGCUUUGCUCUCCAAGUUCCAUUUCUUUGCCUCUGUUUAACGUGGGCAGCUCAGUGCUUUGCCAGUGGAAACCAUCAAAUGUAAUAUCACAUUUACAACUAAAUGACUUCAAUUUAGUGUCACUGGUACACUAUCUGUGGUGUAAAACUGCCAAAAUACCCACUAUUUUCCCUUUAAGCCAUGCUGUGUGCUUUUUUGCAGAAGGCUGUCUCCUGCGAGGACCAGAAGUUGAGCCAAGGCACAUGGAACUUACAAUAGCAGAUGGUAAGAACCAGGGCAGAAGGAGAACUCCUGAAGCCUCCGAAGGAAGGAAAUCAUUACAGGGCCCUACAGAAGUAGGUCAUGUGCUACAGCUGCUCAUAGUUUAAGAGGAAGAAACAUGGGAUCUCAAACCUGGAACACGACUCUUUCAAAAUGCUUGUGAGCAACCCAAGAAAAACAUCCUCCUGAGGCUUAUCUAAUAACCAUGAUCUCUAAUCGUCUCAAUGUGUGCUCAUGUUUCCUUAGGAGUUUGCACCCACUUCUCAGAGCUAACGAGAUGCCGAAACAGAACACAGAAAAAAGUAAUGAAGGAGAUUUAAUAGUUUGUGUUAAAGCUAAUAUGGUCCAUUAGGGGCUGUCAUUUUUAUAAACAGUGAGGAUACGUUACCCUCUUCUUUGGUGUAAAGUCAUUCCGUGCAGGACCUGUAAACAUUCAGUAAUGAUCUGUAGAACAUGCAUGAACGACAAUUAAAGCACCACUUGAAAAGUCUGUUUUCCUCACAUAUUUGUUUUCUUGCUAAAUAAACUUGUAAAGUUCA
rnacentral:lncRNA from 1 species